AACGCUAGCUACAGGCUUAACACAUGCAAGUCGAGGGGUAGCACGGAGACAGUUUACUGUCUUGGGUGACGACCGGCGCACGGGUGCGUAACGCGUAUCCAACCUUCCCGUUACUCUUGGAUAGCCUUCCGAAAGGGAGAUUAAUACAGGAUGGUGUUUGAAUUCCGCAUGUUAUUCAAACUAAAGAUUUAUCGGUAACGGAUGGGGAUGCGUGACAUUAGAUAGUAGGCGGGAUAACGGCCCACCUAGUCUACGAUGUCUAGGGGUUCUGAGAGGAAGGUCCCCCACACUGGAACUGAGACACGGUCCAGACUCCUACGGGAGGCAGCAGUGAGGAAUAUUGGUCAAUGGUCGGAAGACUGAACCAGCCAAGUAGCGUGUAGGAUGAAGGUUCUAUGGAUUGUAAACUUCUUUUAUACGGGAAUAAAACCACCUACGUGUAGGUGCUUGUAUGUACCGUAUGAAUAAGCAUCGGCUAACUCCGUGCCAGCAGCCGCGGUAAUACGGAGGAUGCGAGCGUUAUCCGGAUUUAUUGGGUUUAAAGGGAGCGUAGACGGGGGAUUAAGUCAGUUGUGAAAGGCUGCGGCUCAACCGCAGCACUGCAGUUGAUACUGGUUCCCUUGAGUGCGGUUGAGGUGUAUGGAAUUCGUGGUGUAGCGGUGAAAUGCUUAGAUAUCACGAAGAACUCCGAUUG
rnacentral:rRNA from 1 species